UGCUCAUCUGAUAGCCACCUGACAUAUUUGUUGCAAGUAUUUAACUGCAGACCUGAUAUGUCCUGCUCAAUGAAGAUUUCCUUUUCCAGCGGAGAAGUAGAAGAGAAGACUUGUCAGCGGUUUGAUCUUCACGUCGUUAUCAAGAAAAGGUACAAAGGUUCCGCGGUUUUAUCCCCAAAGUAGCAGCCAUGCAUUACGGCAGGAGCUUGUAAGAUGACACAAGAUUAUUAUGUUGAAUACCUUGGUAAAUUCAGUUCACGUUAUCGUCUCUUCUUUCUAUCAACAAAUUCAUCCAGGAAAACCGGGGUGGUCAACUUUGUUGUGGGUAGAAGAGGAUACCGACAGGUGAGAUGUAUGGUAUUUUCCUCGACGACACUGUCGUGCUGCAAAAGCUCUUUUCGGUAAACAUCCGUGCGGCGGCCUCGUCAUUUCACCGCCCCAUCUAAUGAAUUGUGAGCUGGAAUUGCCCCCGUUUCGCAUCUCACGUCGCUCAGUGUUAAUCUGCUACGGCCGUGUAUAUAAUGUCGUACUUGUAUGUUUCAUGGUGAAGAUGUAGUGUCUCAAUACUCAUAAACUUUGUCCGAGUAGGAGCUGCACUUGACCCUUCAUUUUUACAGUCAAGAAAGAAAUGACUGUUGGAUGAAAAUGGGGAACUUUCUUUGAUCAUACGCGAGCCGUUGAAAUUUCUAAUGGUAAUAAGAUUUCUUUUGAA